AUUUAAUGAAAAAUAAUCUUUGUUUCUCAGUUUCAUAAUAUAAGUAGUGGUUUCCUCAUAUACCACAAAAUCACACGGUGCAAUUUGUGCACAAAUUCAUUAUCAUCAUUUAUACCUAUAAUCAAUCUUACAGCUCACAAGGGACCUCUCAUACGGCUACCUCCUGCAUCAUAAUUACAGGGCCAUGAUAAUCUUCUCUAUAUCGUUCCAAUUUUAUAGAUAAGUUAUGUGGCAGGAAGAGAAAGAUAAAGAGAAAAUAAGAUGUUGAAUAUGCAUAGAGAAUUAUAAAGUCUUUAGAUAUAAUGGUUGGCAUCCGAAGGAACUUAAAUACCCUCAGAGGAGAAAGAUAAAGAUAAAACAAAGGAAUCAAACACAAGUUAAAGAAGAAACAAAGGCAGCUUCAUUAAUUUCUAACAAGUGGUGGAUGAACGCAUGACAAACGUGUAACAAACGGUCAAUAAAGCAAAUUCAAUGUACAUAUUAUUAUGGUCCCAAAUAUAAAAUAAAUAAAUAAAAGUUGAACAAA